rnacentral:rRNA from 1 species
CCUACGGGUGACAGCAGUGAGGAAUAUUGGUCAAUGGACGAGAGUCUGAACCAGCCAAGUAGCGUGAAGGAUGACUGCCCUAUGGGUUGUAAACUUCUUUUAUAUGGGAAUAAAAUGUUCCACGUGUGGGAUUUUGUAUGUACCAUAUGAAUAAGGAUCGGCUAACUCCGUGCCAGCAGCCGCGGUAAUACGGAGGAUCCGAGCGUUAUCCGGAUUUAUUGGGUUUAAAGGGUGCGUAGGUGGAUUGUUAAGUCAGUUGUGAAAGUUUGCGGCUCAACCGUAAAAUUGCAGUUGAAACUGGCAGUCUUGAGUACAGUAGAGGUAGGCGGAAUGCGUGGUGUAGCGGUGAAAUGCUUAGAUAUCACGAAGAACUCCGAUUGCGAAGGCAGUUCACUGGACUGCAACUGACACUGAGGCUCGAUAGUGUGGGUAUCAAACAGGAUUAGAUACCCGAGUAGUC